AGCGAACGCUGGCGGCAGGCCUAACACAUGCAAGUCGAACGGACCCUUCGGGGUUAGUGGCGGACGGGUGAGUAACACGUGGGAACGUGCCUUUAGGUUCGGAAUAGCUCCUGGAAACGGGUGGUAAUGCCGAAUGUGCCCUUUGGGGGAAAGAUUUAUCGCCUUUAGAGCGGCCCGCGUCUGAUUAGCUAGUUGGUGAGGUAAUGGCUCACCAAGGCGACGAUCAGUAGCUGGUCUGAGAGGAUGACCAGCCACAUUGGGACUGAGACACGGCCCAAACUCCUACGGGAGGCAGCAGUGGGGAAUCUUGCGCAAUGGGCGAAAGCCUGACGCAGCCAUGCCGCGUGGAUGAUGAAGGUCUUAGGAUUGUAAAAUCCUUUCACCGGUGAAGAUAAUGACUGUAGCCGGAGAAGAAGCCCCGGCUAACUUCGUGCCAGCCGCCGCAGUAAAAC
rnacentral:rRNA from 1 species